UGGAGUCAAUGCUUCUUGAAAAUGGCACUCGCCUGACCCAUGAAGUCUUGUGCACACUAAUGGCGGAGGUGGCAGCAAUUAUGAAUGCAAGGCCUCUGGUUCCAGUUUCAAAUGAUCCAGAGGAUCCAUUCAUUCUCACACCAUCUAUGUUGUUAACUCAGAAAGUCAGUACUCCACCUCCUCCAGGAGACUUUACGGACAGAGACCUCCUAACUAAGCAGUGGAGACAAGUACAAGCCUUGUCAAACAUGUUCUGGCGCCGUUGGAGACAAGUGUACUUGUCAACUUUACAAGGCCGGAAGAAAUGGACCAAGUCCCACCAAAAUCUGCAAGAAGGAGAUGUCGUCCUCCUCAAGGACAACCUAGUUGUCCGCAACAACUGGCCUAUGGCGAUAAUCACAAAGGCUAUUCCUGGAGAAGACGGGAAAGUCCGUAAGGUGGAAUUGAAGACCACAGAUCAAGGACAUUCAAAAAAGUACCUUAGACCAGUGACAGAACUUGUUUUGCUUCUGAGUAAAGAAUGAUGUUCAUAUGUUUAGUUAAUACAUAAUUUGUUAAGUGUAGUGACCUCACAGAUGCCAGGCGGGGAGUGUGUUGCCAUUAAGGCAAAAUGUUAAGGACUUUUAUUUUGAUACGAUGUAGACCUGGAGUUCGGGGUUAGAGGUUAUUUCCUGUAUAGAAGAAAGGAAGCUGACAGCAUGUGUGCACUUGUAAUCCAUCUGUUGUUAGCACUAGAAGCAAUGUCUUUUCACUCUGUCAUGUAAGAUGAUGUUGAAAGCCACAGUAAACAGCAAGAAAUCGCUCA